AACGUAGGUGGCGAGCGUUAUCCGGAUUUACUGGGCGUAAAGCGUGUGCAGGCGGUCUUAUAAGUGGUGUAUGAAAACGCACGGCUCAACCGGGCGCGGUUAUGCCAGACUGUAGGACUGGAGUGUGAGAGAGGGAUGUGGAAUUCCGGGUGUAGUGGUGAAAUGCGUAGAGAUCCGGAGGAACCCCAGAGGCGAAGGCGGCAUCCUGGCUCACAACUGACGCUCAGACACGACAGCAUGGGGAGCGAACGGG
rnacentral:rRNA from 1 species